rnacentral:sRNA from 1 species
UAUCCGUUUUACAAUGUAUAGCCUUAUA